rnacentral:tRNA from 1 species
GGAGAGAUGGGCGAGUGGUCUAAACCGGCGGUCUCGAAAACCGUUGAACGAUUCUGUCGUUCCAGGAGUUCGAAUCUCCUUCUCUCCG